UAUCAUUCCAAUAGGGCACAUACAUACUUAGGGAACCCAUCAAAAGAAGAAGAAAUUUUUCCAAACAUGUUGAAGUUUGCAGAGGCAUGCGAUAUUCCAGCUGCAAGAGUGACAAAGAGAAGUGAGCUUAGGNNNNNNNUGUUGGAGACUCCAGGACCUUACUUGCUUGACGUGAUUGUGCCCCAUCAAGAACAUGUCCUGCCAAUGAUCCCGAGUGGUCUUUCUUUCAAGGAUGCUAUUAC
rnacentral:misc_RNA from 1 species